rnacentral:rRNA from 1 species
AGAGUUUGAUCCUGGCUCAGGACGAACGCUGGCGGCGUGCUUAACACAUGCAAGUCGAACGAUGAAGCCUUCGGGUGGAUUAGUGGCGAACGGGUGAGUAACACGUGGGCAAUCUGCCCUGCACUCUGGGACAAGCCCUGGAAACGGGGUCUAAUACCGGAUAAUACUGUGCCCCUCAUGGGGGAUGGUUAAAAGCUCCGGCGGUGCAGGAUGAGCCCGCGGCCUAUCAGCUUGUUGGUGGGGUAAUGGCCUACCAAGGCGACGACGGGUAGCCGGCCUGAGAGGGCGACCGGCCACACUGGGACUGAGACACGGCCCAGACUCCUACGGGAGGCAGCAGUGGGGAAUAUUGCACAAUGGGCGAAAGCCUGAUGCAGCGACGCCGCGUGAGGGAUGACGGCCUUCGGGUUGUAAACCUCUUUCAGCAGGGAAGAAGCGAAAGUGAC